AUUGAACGCUGGCGACAGGCUUAACACAUGCAAGUCGAGCGGAGAGAGGUAGCUUGCUACUGAUCUUAGCGGCGGACGGGUGAGUAAUGCUUAGGAAUCUGCCUAUUAGUGGGGGACAACAUUUCGAAAGGAAUGCUAAUACCGCAUACGUCCUACGGGAGAAAGCAGGGGAUCUUCGGACCUUGCGCUAAUAGAUGAGCCUAAGUCGGAUUAGCUAGUUGGUGGGGUAAGGCCUACCAAGGCGACGAUCUGUAGCGGGUCUGAGAGGAUGAUCCGCCACACUGGGACUGAGACACGGCCCAGACUCCGACGGGAGGCAGCAGUGGGGAAUAUUGGACAAUGGGCGGAAGCCUGAUCCAGCCAUGCCGCGUGUGUGAAGAAGGCCUUAUGGUUGUAAAGCACUUUAAGCGAGGAGGAGGCUACUUUAGUUAAUACCUAGAGAUAGUGGACGUUACUCGCAGAAUAAGCACCGGCUAACUCUGUGCCAGCCGCCGCUGUAA
rnacentral:rRNA from 1 species